CUGGGAUGGACUGAGUCUUGGAUUAAAGGCUGAGACAACCUUGGUCCUGGAGAUGCAAUUUAUGGAGGCCUUUGAGUGAUUGCUGUAUUGCUGCUAAAGAGGGCCCAAAACUUGAAUAUUGUUUAAAGCCAAAUCAAUAUCCUCUUCAAUGUGAUCUUCAAGCGUGAAAUAGGACACGGGCUUUCACUUAUUUUAUACAAGUAGUACCGGUUUUCUAGGACUUGCUUACCUGGUGACCAAAACCAUGUACUGACAAUAUGACAGUGUGAUUUCCUGUGCCAAGAAAUAAAACCAAUUUGCCCUCCUCUUGAUAUGGGCUGGUCUUGUGAUCUGCUUUGACCAACAGAAUGGGCACAGUGAUUCUGGGUCACUCAUGAAUCUGGGCCUUCAAAGAGCUACAGCUUCUGCCUUUGCCUUUUGGAACAUUUUUUCUUGGAAUCUGGCUAUCCUGAUGCGAGGGAGCCCAAUUAACAUCAGA